rnacentral:rRNA from 1 species
GCCCAGCGCCGAAUCGAUCAGCCUAUGGUUGCUUCGAAAUGUGGCGUAUAGGUGUAGUCUUCCAGCAGUGUCGUGAGUCCGAAGUCCUUACGAUUGAGGCCAUAGACCAGAGAGGGUGCGAGUCCCGUCCUGGAUUGCGAUGCUGUUGGUUCGAUUGCUCCUUGGAGUCGGGUUGCUUGAAAGUGCAGCCUAAAGUGGGUGAUAAACUUCAUCUAAGGCUAAAUAUUGACUCGAUUGCGAUAGCGAACAAGUACCGUGAGGGAAAGUUGCAAAGGACUUUGAAGAGAGAGUUCAAGAGAACGUGAAAUCGCUGGAGUGGAACCGGAGACAGUUGAUGUUGCUUGGAGACAAGUUUGGUGGCUGGUCGCUUAGUUGUGAUCGUCGCCGGAUGUCGUUUCCUAUGCUACGCCGACGGCGUUGGUCGCUCGUUCUGGCCCGAUAGUGUUGCCCAGCUCGCAAGAGUCGGUGUCUUGUUAUCGGUCGUUGGUUCGUGGUGGCUAGCGUUUAGUUACGCUAGUGUGUGUGACGUCGGUGUGAAAGUCGACGACGUUUCCGACCCGUCUUGAAACACGGAUUGCGGAGUGCUUGUCUACUGCGAGUCAAAGGGUGUUAAAACCUUGCGGCGAAAUGAAAGUGAAGGUCAGUCUUGAAUUGGCCGACGUGGGAUCGGUGCUCCUCGGAGUGCUGCGCACCACGGCCCUGUGCGUGUCACUUGUGACUGUGCAGAGGUUGAGCAGUUGGCAAACGACCCGAAAGAUGGUGAACUAUGCCUGAGCAGGAUGAAGCCAGAGGAAACUCUGGUGGAAGUCCGUAUCGGUUCUGACGUGCAAAUCGAU